AUAAAUAAAUAUAUUUUUAAUAACUGCACUUAUUUGAUUUAAUUAUUAAUUUUUUCUGAUUUUUUAUAUUUUGUCCUUUGUCUUUCAAGGUUGCUUAAUUAUGGUCCACUCUAAAGGCGAGACAGUUUGCCUGUCUUUGAGUGUUUGUCACUGACACACACAUACACGUACACGUACACACUCACACUCACACUCGACAUUCAAAUGGAAUUGCAAAAGUUUUGGGGUUCAAAUCUCAGCAAGUGCCUCCAAAUAGUUGAUCGAGCACUUUUCUCUGAGCCGCAACUAGCGGUUAAUUUCAAGUGCAGCCAGCGGGGCUAGCAAUGUACAACAACAUCAACAAUAACAGGCAGACGGCAACUGGAGCUAAAUGUAUUGACAAACGCCGCAACAGCGGUAGCAGCAGCAGCAGCGACAACAACAACUACAGCGAGAAGAAGUAGCAGAAGAAGAGACACAGUUGCGCUCACUUGACGACGCGUGCGCAAAUUCAACUGGUUCGUUAGAAAGCGGCAAAACAAAUGACCAUCAUUGGCUGUUGACGCUGCCAGUCUGCUGGACUGGAUGGCUGGCUAGCUGGCUAGCUGGCUGCUGUUGGUGGUGCAGAUGGUGGUGGUGGUGAUGGCGGUGGUGCAGCCAGCCACCAGGUAAUCGGGUCAAGUGAUUUAGAAAUAUAUAGAAAAAGAAAACUGCGCGCAACUGAGCGGAAGUUGGGUGGCAGCAGCGGCGAUGGCGACGGACAUUGGCGAAAAAGGGAAUUGGAAAUGAAGCAGAAACAAGUGCACAGAGCAAUGCAUUGCAACCUGCAGGAGAGCAGCAACAACAGCAGUAUCAGCAGCCGUAGCAGACAGCGGGAGACAACAUUAGCGGCAGCAUCCGUGCUGCAGUUGCGAGAGAGAGAGUGUUAACGAGUGAGCGCGACAGAGUGAAGCUGCGCGUGUGUGUGUGUGCGUCUGGGGGUCUCUCUCGUUAUGGCUACACAGGGUGUGUAUUUGUGUGGGUGUUCGUGUGAGCGGGUGCAACCGUAAGAAACUUUGUUGGGGGUGGGUGGCAACACCGGCACCGGUAAGCCGGCAACGCUUUGAGCUACUGUUUUACUGUUUUUUUUUCUUCUUCCUUUUUUGCUGCUUCCCACCACUACACAAAGCGCAAGCAGUUAGAGUGAGAGAGCUAGAUAGUAAGCUGGAUUGAGAGCAGGGAAAGAGCGGGCGGGGUAUAAGGCACAAGUGGCCUCCUGGUGGUGGUUCCGUUACGUGUUUGUUGUUGCAUAUGCAUUUAUUGACAUUUUUCUUACUGCGUUUGUCAUGCACUUAAUGCUUGUUACUAUUUUUUUUUUGUAUACUGUGCCAAAUGCGUGCAAUUAAUUAGGCGUUGUUUAUGCACAGCACAAAAAAAAAAAAAAAAAAAAAAACACAAAACGGAUGUGAAUGUAAAAGGAGCCGCUGCUUCUGGUUUUCCACUGACUUGUUUGUUGUUGUUGUGUUCAGCCGGCACACACCCUUUUUAGCACUGGCGCCGCUGGGAGCGACACUACAACUACAAAAACAAGAAGGAGGAACAAGAACAGCGCAGCCGACGCUGCGUUCUGGGCAAACAAAGGAGCAGUUUUGCACCCGAUUCAUAUACACGUACACUCAUACACUCAUACUCGCACUCUCACACACACACUCAAACACAUACAGGAAACAUGCAAAAAUUGAAAUGUUGCACACACAGACUCACUUACGCAGGGUGGACUAUAAUUGAACAAUGCAAUUGCAUUUGCAAUAAUAAAAUGAAUCACAGCACAUUAAACACUUUAACACUCACAAUUUUAUUUGGCACGCCCUUUCGACCAAUAUCCCGCAACUGCACAAUUUCUUUUAAUUUUUGUAUAAAAAAUGUUGCAUCG